rnacentral:tRNA from 1 species
GGUGGCUCAGUGGUAGAGUGCUUGCCUUGCAUGCAGGAAGCCCUGGGUUUGAUUCCUCAGUACCA